rnacentral:snRNA from 15 species
CCACUUACCUCGUGGAGAAGAUCCGAACGCGGAGCAAAUCUUCAUGCACUUGCAUUGAUUCUCCCAUUGGGAGUGUCAGCCACCUAAUUUUUGUGUAGGGAGAAAGCGUACGCGCAUUCUCCUA